rnacentral:rRNA from 1 species
GAGUUUGAUCCUGGCUCAGGAUGAACGCUAGCGACAGGCUUAACACAUGCAAGUCGAGGGGCAGCGGGGGCGAAGCUUGCUUCGCCUGCCGGCGACCGGCGCACGGGUGAGUAACACGUAUGCGACCUGCCCCCCGCAGGGGGAUAACCGGGAGAAAUCCCGACUAAUACCGCGUAACGCCGCGGGGCUGCAUGGCCCCGCGGCCAAAGGAAGCGAUUCCGGCGGGGGAUGGGCAUGCGGCGCAUUAGCUAGUCGGCGGGGUAACGGCCCACCGAGGCGACGAUGCGUAGGGGUUCUGAGAGGAGGGUCCCCCACACUGGUACUGAGACACGGACCAGACUCCUACGGGAGGCAGCAGUGAGGAAUAUUGGUCAAUGGGCGGGAGCCUGAACCAGCCAAGUCGCGUGAGGGAAGACGGUCCUACGGAUUGUAAACCUCUUUUGCCGGGGAGCAACGGGGUCCUUGCGAGGGCCCAAUGAGAGUACCCGGAGAAAAAGCAUCGGCUAACUCCGUGCCAGCAGCCGCGGUAAUACGGAGGAUGCGAGCGUUAUCCGGAUUUAUUGGGUUUAAAGGGUGCGUAGGCGGGCUGUUAAGUCAGCGGUCAAAUGUCGGGGCUCAACCCCGGCCUGCCGUUGAAACUGGCGGCCUCGAGUGGGCGAGAAGUAUGCGGAAUGCGUGGUGUAGCGGUGAAAUGCAUAGAUAUCACGCAGAACUCCGAUUGCGAAGGCAGCAUACCGGCGCCCUACUGACGCUGAGGCACGAAAGCGUGGGUAUCGAACAGGAUUAGAUACCCUGGUAGUCCACGCAGUAAACGAUGAAUGCUAGCUGUCCGGUUCUACGGGACUGGGUGGCACAGCGAAAGCGUUAAGCAUUCCACCUGGGGAGUACGCCGGCAACGGUGAAACUCAAAGGAAUUGACGG